rnacentral:rRNA from 1 species
GAUGAACGCUGGCGGCGUGCCUAAUACAUGCAAGUCGAGCGAACAGACGAGGAGCUUGCUCCUCUGACGUUAGCGGCGGACGGGUGAGUAACACGUGGAUAACCUACCUAUAAGACUGGGAUAACUUCGGGAAACCGUAGCUAAUACCGGAUAAUAUAUUGAACCGCAUGGUUCAAUAGUUAAAGACGGUUUUGCUGUCACUUAUAGAUGGAUCCGCGCCGCAUUAGCUAGUUGGUAAGGUAACGGCUUACCAAGGCAACGAUGCGUAGCCGACCUGAGAGGGUGAUCGGCCACACUGGAACUGAGAAACGGUCCAGACUCCUACGGGAGGCAGCAGUAGGGAAUCUUACGCAAUGGGCGAAAGCCUGACGGAGCAACGCCGCGUGAGUGAUGAAGGUCUUCGGAUCGUAAAACUCUGUUAUUAGGGAAGAACAAAUGUGUAAGUAACUAUGCACGUCUUGACGGUACCUAAUCAGAAAGCCACGGCUAACUACGUG